ensembl:lncRNA
AUGAAGUAAGAUAUCAUGAGACAUAAAAGCUGCACUGAUUUAAUCGUAGAAUCUCAGACUUUUGCAACCCCUGGACCACUAGGGUGUCAAUCUCAUUGUCCAGUCCUGUAGAUGCAGCAGCUAACCUACCUUGGCCCUCAACUUGAGAAAAGUAAAUCCAAUCUUUUUUUUAGCAAAAUUGUAAAGUCCUUACCUUUGUACGGAACCUUGGAUAUCAUCCAGGGAGCCUGUGGUUUUCAGGUGGGAGGUUAGGGCACUGAUAUGAAUCAUGACAUUGUGGCAUCCUGGAAAGAACACUGGAUUUGGGAUCAGAAGUCCUUAACCUACAGCUGCUGUUGGUUAAGACCAGAAAGGUCUGGGACUUCCCCGGUAGUCCAGUGGCUAAGACUCCACACUCCCAAUACAGGGGACCUGGGUUCAAUCCCUGAUCUGGGAACUAGAUCCCACAUGCCACAACUAAAGAUCCCGCAUGCCAUAAUGAAGGCCCCACCACUAAAAUAUUUCUGUGUGUUUCAGUGAAGAUCAAAGAUCCUGCUUGCCGCAGCUAAGACCUGGCAAAGGAAAAAAGAUCAGGAAGGUCUGAGCACAUCUGUGCUCUCUAUCAGAGUAAGGUAGUAUCCCAGGGCUAAGGAGGCUCUGAGAGUUCCAAGGAAGCAAGAGACAUAAGACAGACAUUGUUACCAUGGUCAGGUCAGGCUCUGGGUCAGAGACCAGGAUUCAGACAUACUAGAAAGAAAAUUGAGAUGAGAGAAAAGCAAUUAGAAAGUGACAAUGUGGAGCUGAUAACUGAGGAAAGGCUCUAGCAGAGCCAGAGAUUUCACCUUCACUUUCUCCUUGGCCCGAAACCAAGUCCAGGGUCGUAGGCUUGGCAGUGGGUGGGACAGACUAGGGAAUUAUGGACUAUGGAUUAUGAGCCUAGCUUGAGUCAAGACAAUCUGAAAGUUCAUGUAGGAGCCCAGCUGGGAGAAAUAGUUGGAGGCAGGUCCCAGAGGGUUUGUGUCCCAAGGAUCUAGAAAAGAACUUGGUGGGUCAAGGACAAUUUUCAAGGCUGACCAGUUUAAAAUUAAGUGGUGGCCACCAGCAGCAGCACAGUGGGAGGUGAGUCAAUGCCCAGAGGGCAGGAUGUUAGUACCUAGAAGGCCAGCAACAUGGAUGGCGCAUGCAGCCCUUCAAAGAUUGGAAAUAGGAGUAGAAGCCCCCCUCAUGAUGAUUUGAGAGUGGGGAGAUUGAAAAAAUAGGGAUUUUAAGCUCAAUACAUGCUUUGUGUGUGUGCUCAGUCACUCAGUCAUGUCCAACUCUUUGCAGCCUUUGGACUGUAGCCUGCCAGGUUCCUCUGUCCAUGAAAUUUUUCAGGCAAGAGUACUGGAGUGGGUUGCCAUUUCCUCCUUCAGGGGAUCUUCCUGACCUAAGGAUCAAACCUGCAUCUCCUGUGUCUCCUGCAUUGCAGAUGGACUCUUUACUUGCUGAGUCAUCAGGGAAGCCCUAAGUACUCCCCAAAUAGACCUACUUCUUCCAAGAUCAGAUUUAGCCCUCAAGUUGGGGGCACAAUUGCCAUUAUGGAUGAAGGUGAGAGGUGAGUGAACAGACACUCACAGAACCAAGCAAGACAAUACAAUCAGCAUAAAAAUCACCAGAAAUGAGGAAGAUGGGUGAGUGAGCCCCUGAUUCAAAGGGGGAGCAAAUGAGUGCAGAUGAAGUCACAGCUGGAUGCAGGGAAAGUGGAACUGUUCUGGAAUGAGAUUCUUGGUGGUCCCUGAAUCCACAGCUCAUAAAAUAUGAAACUAGAACUCAGUAUGAACACUUCCACCUAACUGGUCAUUGAGUCAUCUUUCUGAAAUUUAGUUUAAUUCUAACCCCAACCCACU